AUACGUAGGGUGCAAGCGUUAAUCGGAAUUACUGGGCGUAAAGCGUGCGCAGGCGGUUUUGUAAGACAGUGGUGAAAUCCCCGGGCUCAACCUGGGAACUGCCAUUGUGACUGCAAGGCUGGAGUGCAGCAGAGGGGGAUGGAAUUCCGCGUGUAGCAGUGAAAUGCGUAGAUAUGCGGAGGAACACCGAUGGCGAAGGCAAUCCCCUGGGCCUGCACUGACGCUCAUGCACGAAAGCGUGGGGAGCAAACAGGAUUAGAUACCCUGGUAGUCCACGCCCUAAACGAUGUCAACUGGUUGGUGGGGAUUUAUUUUCUCAGUAACGAAGCUAACGCGUGAAGUUGACCGCCUGGGGAGUACGGCCGCAAGGUUAAAACUCAAAUGAAUUGACGGGG
rnacentral:rRNA from 1 species